AGUGAACGCUGGCGGUAGGCCUAACACAUGCAAGUCGAACGGCAGCACAGGAGAGCUUGCUCUCUGGGUGGCGAGUGGCGGACGGGUGAGGAAUACAUCGGAAUCUACUCUGUCGGGGGGGAGAACGAAGGGAAACUUACGCUAAUACCGCAUACGACCUACGGGUGAAAGCAGGGGAUCUUCGGACCUUGCGCGAUUGAAUGAUCCGAUGUCGGAUUAGCUAGUUGUCGGGGUAAAGGCCCAACAAGGCGACGAUCCGUAGCUGGUCUGAGAGGAUGAUCAGCCACACUGGAACUGAGACACGGUCCAGACUCCUACGGGAGGCAGCAGUGGGGAAUAUGGGACAAUGGGCGCAAGCCUGAUCCAGCCAUACCGCGUGGGUGAAGAAGGCCUUCGGGUUGUAAAGCCCUUUUGUUGGGAAAGAAAUCCAGCUGGCUAAUACCCGGUUGGGAUGACGGUACCCAAAGAAUAAGCACCGGCUAACUUCGUGCCAGCAGCCGCCGUAA
rnacentral:rRNA from 1 species